rnacentral:rRNA from 1 species
CGAGCGGACAGAUGGGAGCUUGCUCCCUGAUGUUAGCGGCGGACGGGUGAGUAACACGUGGGUAACCUGCCUGUAAGACUGGGAUAACUCCGGGAAACCGGGGCUAAUACCGGAUGCUUGAUUGAACCGCAUGGUUCAAUUAUAAAAGGUGGCUUUUAGCUACCACUUACAGAUGGACCCGCGGCGCAUUAGCUAGUUGGUGAGGUAACGGCUCACCAAGGCAACGAUGCGUAGCCGACCUGAGAGGGUGAUCGGCCACACUGGGACUGAGACACGGCCCAGACUCCUACGGGAGGCAGCAAUAGGGAAUCUUCCGCAAUGGACUAACGUCUGACGGAGCAGGGUGCGGUGAGUGAUGAACGUUUUCCGAUCUUAAAACUCUGUUGUUAGGGAUGAACCUGUACCGUUCGAAUACCGGGGCACCAUGAGGGUACCUUAUCUGAAAG